rnacentral:piRNA from 1 species
UCUGGCCUUUGGACAGUUGUGGUGUCACAGC